AUUGAACGCUGGCGGCAGGCUUAACACAUGCAAGUCGAACGAGUGGCGGACGGGUGAGUAAUGUAUGGGGACUGCCCGCUAGAGGGGGAUAACUACUGGAAACGGUAGCUAAUACCGCAUACUAUCGGAUAACCCAUAUGGGAUUAGCUGGUAGGUGGGGUAACGGCUCACCUAGGCGACGAUCCCUAGCUGGGCUGAGAGGAUGAUCAGCCACACUGGGACUGAGACACGGCCCAGACUCCUACGGAGGCAGCAGUGGGGAAUAUUGCACAAUGGGCGCAAGCCGGAGGCAGCCAUGCCGCGUGUAUGAAGAAGGCCUUCGGGUUGUAAAGUACUUUCAGGCGGGAGGCGUUACCGACAGAAGAAGCACCGGCUAACUCCGUGCCAGCAGCCGCGGUAAUUC
rnacentral:rRNA from 1 species